AGAGUUUGAUCCUGGCUCAGAUUGAACGCUGGCGGCGUGCUUAACACAUGCAAGUCGAACGUGAAAGUCCUUCGGGGCGAGUAAAGUGGCGCACGGGUGAGUAACGCGUGGAUAAUCUACCCUUAAGAUGGGGAUAACGGCUGGAAACGGUCGCUAAUACCGAAUACGCUCCCGAUUUUAUCAUUGGGGGGAAAGAUGGCCUCUGCUUGCAAGCUAUCGCUUAAGGAUGAGUCCGCGUCCCAUUAGCUAGUCGGCGGGGUAACGGCCCACCAAGGCAACGAUGGGUAGCCGGUCUGAGAGGAUGACCGGCCACACUGGAACUGGAACACGGUCCAGACUCCUACGGGAGGCAGCAGUGGGGAAUAUUGCGCAAUGGGCGAAAGCCUGACGCAGCGACGCCGCGUGAGGGAUGAAGGUUCUCGGAUCGUAAACCUCUGUCAGGGGGGAAGAAACCCCCUCGUGUGAAUAAUGCGAGGGCUUGACGGUACCCCCAAAGGAAGCACCGGCUAACUCCGUGCCAGCAGCCGCGGUAAUACGGAGGGUGCAAGCGUUAAUCGGAAUCACUGGGCGUAAAGCGCACGUAGGCGGCUUGGUAAGUCAGGGGUGAAAUCCCACAGCCCAACUGUGGAACUGCCUUUGAUACUGCCAGGCUUGAGUACCGGAGAGGGCGGCGGAAUUCCAGGUGUAGGAGUGAAAUCCGUAGAUAUCUGGAGGAACACCGGUGGCGAAGGCGGCCACCUGGACGGUAACUGACGCUGAGGUGCGAAAGCGUGGGUAGCAAACAGGAUUAGAUACCCUGGUAGUCCACGCUGUAAACGAUGGGUGCUGGGUGCUGGGAUGUAUGUCUCGGUGCCGUAGCUAACGCGAUAAGCACCCCGCCUGGGGAGUACGGUCGCAAGGCUGAAACUCAAAGAAAUUGACGGGGGCCCGCACAGCGGUGAGUAUGUGUUUAAUUCGAUG
rnacentral:rRNA from 1 species